rnacentral:rRNA from 1 species
AUCCCGAUGCUAUUCUAGAGAUAGAAGUUACUCGGUACGAUCGGUGACAGGUGGUGCAUGGUUGUCGUCAGCUCGUGUCGUGAGAUGUUGGUUAAGUCCGCAACGAGCGCAACCCCUAUUGUUAGUUGCCAUCAUUCAGUUGGGCACUCUAGCCAGACUGCCGGUGAUAAAUCGGAGGAAGGUGGGGACGACGUCAAAUCAUCAUGCCCUUUAUGUCCUGGGCUACACACGUACUACAAUGGCCGUUACAACGGGAAGCGAAGGAGCAAUCCGGAGCAAAUCCCUUAAAGGCGGUCCCAGUUCAGAUUGUGGGCUGAAACUCGCCCACAUGAAGGCGGAAUUGCUAGUAAUUGCAGAUCAGCAUGCUGCAGUGAAUACGUUCCCGGGCCUU